rnacentral:rRNA from 1 species
AUGCUUUACACAUGCAAGUCGAACGGCAGCGCGAGAAAGCUUGCUUUCUUGGCGGCGAGUGGCGAACGGGUGAGUAAUGUAUCGGAACGUGCCCAGUAGCGGGGGAUAACUGGCCGAAAGGUCAGCUAAUACCGCAUACGCCCUACGGGGGAAAGGGGGGGAUCGCAAGACCUCUCACUAUUGGAGCGGCCGAUAUCGGAUUAGCUAGUUGGUGGGGUAAAGGCCUACCAAGGCGACGAUCCGUAGCUGGUUUGAGAGGACGACCAGCCACACUGGGACUGAGACACGGCCCAGACUCCUACGGGAGGCAGCAGUAGGGAAUUUUGGACAAUGGGGGAAACCCUGAUCCAGCCAUCCCGCGUGUGCGAUGAAGGCCUUCGGGUUGUAAAGCACUUUUGGCAGGGAAGAAACAGCCUGGGCUAAUAUCCCGGGCGACUGACGGUACCUGCAGAAUAAGCACCGGCUAACUACGUGCCAGCAGCCGCGGUAAUACGUAGGGUGCAAGCGUUAAUCGGAAUUACUGGGCGUAAAGCGUGCGCA